CUCCAUAUGGGGCUGAGGGGGCACUUGUGGGGCUGGGGGGCACUUGUGGGUCUCACUGUGGGGCAGAGGAAUCACUUGUGGGGCUGGGGGGUCACUUGUGGGGCUGGGGGGGCACUUGAGGGUCUCACUUUGGGGCUCAGGCCAAUCAGAGAGCGAGUUGCCUCAGAGAGAGGUGGGACGGGAGAUCGGCCCAAUCAGAGAGCGAGUUGCCACAGAUCAGGGUAGGAAGGACGGGAGCUCGGGCCAAUCAGAGAGCGAGUUGCCACAGUGCAGCAUAAGACGGACAGGAGCUCGGGCCAAUCAGAGCGCGAGUUGCCUCAGAGAGAGGUGGGACAGGAGGUCGGACUAAUCAGAGAGCGAGUUGCCUCAGAGAGAGGUGGGACAGGAGAUCGGUCCAAUCAGAGAGCGAGUUGCCACACAGCAGGAUAGGACGGACGGGAGCUCGGACCAAUCAGAGCGCGAGUUACCUCAGAGAGAGCUGGGACGGGACCUCGGCCCAAUCAGAGAGCGAGUUCCCACAGGGCAGGAGAGGACGGACGGGAGUUCGGACGAAUCAGAGAGAGAGAGGCCACAGGGAAGGAUAGGACGGACGGAAGCUCGGGCCAAUCAGAGAGCGAGUUACCUCAGAGAGAGGUGGGACGAGAGAUCGGCCCAAUCAGAGAGCGAGUUGCCACAGGGCAGGAGAAGACGGACAGGAGCUCGGGCCAAUCAGAGAACGAGUUGCCUCAGAGAGAGGUGGGACAGGAGAUCGGUCCAAUCAGAGAGCGAGUUGCCACACAGCAGGAUAGGACGGACGGGAGCUCGGACCAAUCAGAGCGCGAGUUACCUCAGAGAGAGCUGGGACGAGAGAUCGGCCCAAUCAGAGAGCGAGUUCCCACAGGGCAGGAGAGGACGGACGGGAGUUCGGACCAAUCAGAGAGCGAGUUGCCACAGGGAAGGAUAGGACGGACGGAAGCUCGGGCCAAUCAGAGAGCGAGUUACCUCAGAGAGAGGACGGACGGAAGCUCGGACCAAUCAGAGAGCGAGUUGCCACAGGGCAGGGUAGGAAGGACGGGAGCUCGGACCAGUCAGAGAGCGAGUUGCCUCAGAGAGAGGUGGGACGGGAAGUCGGCCCAAUCAGAGAGCGAGUUACCUCAGAGUGAGGUGGGACGAGAGAUCGGCCCAAUCAGAGAGCGAGUUCCCACAGGGCAGGAGAGGACGGACGGGAGUUCGGACCAAUCAGAGAGCGAGUUGCCACAGGGAAGGAUAGGACGGACGGAAGCUCGGGCCAAUCAGAGAGCGAGUUACCUCAGAGAGAGGUGGGACGGGACCUCGGCCCAAUCAGAGAUCGAGUUGCCACAGGGCAGGAGAGGACGGACGGGAGUUCGGACGAAUCAGAGAGAGAGAGGCCACAGGGAAGGAUAGGACGGACGGAAGCUCGGACCAAUCAGAGAGCGAGUUGCCACAGGGCAGGGUAGGAAGGACGGGAGCUCGGACCAGUCAGAGAGCGAGUUGCCUCAGAGAGAGGUGGGACGGGAAGUCGGCCCAAUCAGAGAGCGAGUUACCUCAGAGUGAGGUGGGACGAGAGAUCGGCCCAAUC
rnacentral:lncRNA from 1 species